GACGAACGCUGGCGGCGUGCUUAACACAUGCAAGUCGAACGGAAAGGCCCUGCUUUUGUGGGGUGCUCGAGUGGCGAACGGGUGAGUAACACGUGAGUAACCUGCCCUUGACUUUGGGAUAACUUCAGGAAACUGGGGCUAAUACCGGAUAGGAGCUCCUGCUGCAUGGCGGGGGUUGGAAAGUUUCGGCGGUUGGGGAUGGACUCGCGGCUUAUCAGCUUGUUGGUGGGGUAGUGGCUUACCAAGGCUUUGACGGGUAGCCGGCCUGAGAGGGUGACCGGCCACAUUGGGACUGAGAUACGGCCCAGACUCCUACGUGAGGCAGCAGUGGGGAAUAUUGCACAAUGGGCGGAAGCCUGAUGCAGCAACGCCGCGUGCGGGAUGACGGCCUUCGGGUUGUAAACCGCUUUCGCCUGUGACGAAGCGUGAGUGACGGUAAUGGGUAAAGAAGCACCGGCUAACUACGUG
rnacentral:rRNA from 1 species